rnacentral:misc_RNA from 1 species
GAAAUGCGAUAAUUAAUGUGAAUUGCAGAAUUCAGUGAAUCAUCGAGUCUUUGAACGCACAUUGUGCCCCCUGGUAUUCCGGGGGGCAUGCCUGUCCGAGCGUCAUUGCUGCCCUCAAGCACGGCUUGUGUGUUGGGCUUCCGUCCCUGGCAACGGGGACGGGCCCAAAAGGCAGUGGCGGCACCAUGUCUGGUCCUCGAGCGUAUGGGGCUUUGUCACCCGCUCCCGUAGGUCCAGCUGGCAGCUAGCCUCGCAACCAAUCUUUUUAACCAGGUUGACCUCGGAUCAGGUAGGGAUACCCGCUGAACUUAAGC